UACGUAGGUCCCGAGCGUUGUCCGGAUUUAUUGGGCGUAAAGCGAGCGCAGGCGGUUUAAUAAGUCUGAAGUUAAAGGCAGUGGCUUAACCAUUGUUCGCUUUGGAAACUGUUAAACUUGAGUGCAGAAGGGGAGAGUGGAAUUCCAUGUGUAGCGGUGAAAUGCGUAGAUAUAUGGAGGAACACCGGUGGCGAAAGCGGCUCUCUGGUCUGUAACUGACGCUGAAGCUCGAAAGCGUGGGGAGCAAACAGG
rnacentral:rRNA from 1 species